GUGUUGUAUGAAAGGAGAGAAGGUUAGCACUCCCCUUGAUAAGGAUGGAAGAGGCCCUUGUGGCCUAUACGACACGCAUACGGUUAAGGCACUGCCACCUACUUUGUGGCAUCUAACCAUGUUUUUUA
rnacentral:ncRNA from 1 species